rnacentral:rRNA from 1 species
UACGGAGGGGACUAGCGUUGUUCGGAAUUACUGGGCGUAAAGCGCACGUAGGCGGAUUUGUAAGUCAGGGGUGAAAUCCCGGGGCUCAACCUCGGAACUGCCUUUGAUACUGCAAAUCUCGAGUCCGGAAGAGGUGAGUGGAAUUCCUAGUGUAGAGGUGAAAUUCGUAGAUAUUAGGAAGAACACCGGUGGCGAAGGCGGCCAUCUGGACGACAACUGACGCUGAGACGCGAAAGCGUGGGUAGCAAACAGG